rnacentral:rRNA from 1 species
CAUAUCAAUAAGCGGAGGAAAAGAAACCAACAGGGAUUACCUCAGUAACGGCGAGUGAAGCGGUAACAGCUCAAAUUUGAAAGCUAGCUCUUUUAGGGUUCGCAUUGUAAUUUGUAGAAGAUGCUUCGGGUGUGGCCCCGGUCUAAGUUCCUUGGAACAGGACGUCAUAGAGGGUGAGAAUCCCGUAUGUGACUGGGUGCUUUCGCUCAUGUGAAGCUCUUUCGACGAGUCGAGUUGUUUGGGAAUGCAGCUCAAAAUGGGUGGUAAAUUUCAUCUAAAGCUAAAUAUUGGCCAGAGACCGAUAGCGCACAAGUAGAGUGAUCGAAAGAUGAAAAGCACUUUGGAAAGAGAGUUAAACAGUACGUGAAAUUGUUGAAAGGGAAGCGCUUGCAACCAGACUUGCGCGCUGAUGAUCAUCCGGGCUUCUGCCCGGUGCACUCGUCUGCGCUCAGGCCAGCAUCGGUUUCGGUGGUGGGAUAAAGGCCUUGGGAAUGUAGCUCCUCUCGGGGAGUGUUAUAGCCCUCGGUGCAAUGCCGCCUACCGGGACCGAGGACCGCGCUUCGGCUAGGAUGCUGGCGUAAUGGUUGUAAGCGACCCGUCUUGAAACACGGACCAAGGAGUCUAACAUCUAUGC